rnacentral:rRNA from 1 species
UGACACUGAGGUUCGAAAGCGUGGGUAGCAAACAGGAUUAGAUACCCUGGUAGUCCACGCCGUAAACGAUGUCUACUAGUCGUUGGGUCCCUUGAGGACUUAGUGACGCAGCUAACGCAAUAAGUAGACCGCCUGGGGAGUACGGCCGCAAGGUUAAAACCUCAAAUGAAUUGACGGGGGCCCGCACAAGCGGUGGAGCAUGUGGUUUAAUUCGAUGCAACGCGAAGAACCUUACCUGGUCUUGACAUAUCUAGAAUCCUGCAGGGAUGAGGGAGUGCCUUCGGGAAUUAGAAUACAGGUGCUGCAUGGCUGUCGUCAGCUCGUGUCGUGAGAUGUUGGGUUAAGUCCCGCAACGAGCGCAACCCUUGUCCUUAGUUACCAGCGGGUUAAGCCGGGAACUCUAAGGAUACUGCCAGUGACAAACUGGAGGAAGGCGGGGACGACGUCAAGUCAUCAUGGCCCUUACGGCCAGGGCUACACACGUGCUACAAUGGUAGGUACAGAGGGCAGCUACACAGCGAUGUGAUGCGAAUCUUUCAAAGCCUAUCGUAGUCCAGAUUGGAGUCUGCAACUCGACUCCAUGAAGUAGGAAUCGCUAGUAAUCGCGGAUCAGAAUGCCGCGGUGAAUACGUUCCCGGGCCUUGUACACACCGCCCGUCACACCAUGGGAGUUGAUUGCACCAGAAGUGGUUAGCCUAACGUAAGAGGGCGAUCACCACGGUGUGGUUGAUGACUGGGGUGAAGUCGUAACAAGGUAACC